UGCCCAUUGGCCCAGUGGUCAAGGCGUCUGACUGUUAUUAUCUUAAAGAAAUAGUAUCAGAAAAAUCAGAAGAUCCCUGGUUCGACCCCAGGAUGGGCAG